rnacentral:rRNA from 1 species
CAAAGGUAGCAUAAUCAGUUGGCUUUUAAUUGAAGUCUGGUAUGAACGAAAGUAUGGGUGGAGACUGUCUUAGUAUAUUAAUUUGAACUUAUUUAGCAAGUGCAAAUACUUGUGAGCUUAAAAAAGACGAGAAGACCCUAGAAACUUGAAAUAGUUUUUGUUGGGGCGACAGAAUUACAUUUAACUGAUUCUUAAAACAUGACAUUUAAUUGGAAGAAUAAGUUACUCUAGGGAUAACAGCAUAAUUUUAACAGUUUGUGACCUCGAUGUUGGAUUAG